GACGAACGUUGGCGGCGUGCCUAAUAUAUGCAAGUCGAGCGGACUAAUGGGAGCUUGCUCCCGUUAGUUAGCGGCGGACGGGUGAGUAACACGUGGGCAACCUACCUGUAAGACUGGGAUAACUUCGGGAAACCGGAGCUAAUACCGGAUGACAUAAAGGAACUCCUGUUCCUUUAUUGAAAGAUGGCUUCGGCUAUCACUUACAGAUGGGCCCGCGGCGCAUUAGCUAGUUGGUGAGGUAACGGCUCACCAAGGCGACGAUGCGUAGCCGACAGGAGAGGGUGAUCGGCCACACGGGGACUGAUGCACGGCCCAGACUCCUACGGGAGGCAGCAGUAGGGAAUCUUCCGCAAUGGACGAAAGUCUGACGGAGCAACGCCGCGUGAGCGAGGAAGGCCUUCGGGUCGUAAAGCUCUGUUGUUAGGGAAGAAUAAGUGCUAGUUGAAUAAGCUGGCACCUUGACGGUACCUAACCAGAAAGCCACGGCUAACUCCGUGCCAGCCGCCGCAGUAA
rnacentral:rRNA from 1 species